GUUCCCCAUGAUGCUUCAGUAUGAACCAUGCUAAUGCUGAUCAGUCCAUGAUCAAUCCUUUAUUCUUUCAUUUGCUAAGGGAAUG